CUUUAAAUCACGAAGGGAGUUACCAUGGAAACUGAAGGAGCACGAGGACAGCUAGCUCCGUCUCCCGCGGUUUCUUCGCUGUUUUCAAGAGUGACAAAAACCCUCUAUAAUAGAAGAGAAGCUCAAGAUUUCAACAUUUUCUGAAGGGAGUUGCAGACAGGUGUAGAAAACUGCUUUUCAAAUUUUCCACAUUUAUCACAGUUAUUUUAAGAUGUUGACAUCUAAACAUUUGUCCAUGCUAAUGGCCGAGCAGUAGGGUUGGAACAGACCUGUCAGAAAACAUCUCUGAACCAUAUGACUAAUUUCAAAACAAUUUAUUCUUGAGAGGAGGCACCACAGUUAAAGACAGUGUUUUGAAGAAUUUUGAACUUCCUGCUCACAAACUACCUACUUCUCCAGUUAGUCUGACAGGCUAUCAAUGAGAAUGCGGCAUUACAGGACACCACUGAAAACUAUACCACUAAAAACUGAUUAUUGCUGCAGUCAGAAGAAACAGAUUAACAGCAACUAUCUGCUUGAGACCAAGAGAUUGAGCACUGGGUUAAGACAUGGUUGCAGCUUGCCACAGACAGAGAUGAAGGUCGUUGGGCAAAAGAGAAGAUUUAAAGGCAUAGCUCAUCCAAAAAUGGAAACUCAUUUACUUACCAUCAAGAUGUUUCAAACUCUAUCAAAUGUAUUUGUUCAGUUACUGACUGUUAUAAAUUAUACAGGUUUGGAACAACCUUUGGGUGAGCAAAAUUACAGUUUUAAUUUUAAUUAGUGAACUAUCCCUAUUGUGAGUUUUAUAAGUUUAUUAAGAAAUGUUGAGUAUUAUAUCAGAGUUCUGUAUGUAAGGAGAUGGUAGUUGUACGUUUGUGUGUUAAUAUAGAUGGUUUCAGUGGCAACAACAUAAAUCACUUUCAUGGCCCAAACUUAACUUCGGGUAGACCUCCACAUAGAUUCAAUAACAACCGAGUAUCUCUGGAGCAGUUUUUUUUCUGAUAACAAACAAAAUAAAUAACCAGUAAAUAGCCUUAGAUCAAAUCAUAGCUAAAGCAUUUCAACCAUUACAUUGAUCUAAUGUUACUGGGUAAAAUUAAGCUUUACAAUUUUAGCUACAGAUCUUUGAAAAUGUUUGUACGGUAUACUGCCCAUUUCCAGAAAGGUAAUAAAAACAGCGUGCACAGUGACGCUGCUGACGUGUUAUCCUCAGACAUGUUUGUGAAGAUUGUUUUGUUUAUAGUGUGCGUCUCCCUCAGACUGUAAAAAAAGCUUGGGCAAACAAGAUAACAUGUCAGCAGCGUCACUCCAGUGUUGUGCACGAGGUUCACAACAGACCUGGAAGAGAAGACGAUGCUGAAUAAAGUCAUAAUUUCUGUUAUUUUUGGACCAAAAUUUAUUUUCGAUGCUUCAACACAUUCUAACUGACCCACUGAUAUCACAUGGACUACUUUGAUGAUGUACAGUAUAUAUUUGAUCGUGUAUACACAUAUCUAAAACAUCUUAAACUGUUUCCGAAGAUGAACGGAGGUGUUACGGGUUUGGAAUGACAUGAGGGUCAUUAAUUACAUAAUUUUCAUUUUGGAUGAAAUAACCCUUUAAGUUUGGCCAGGUGUGUAACUGUGGCAACGCACAUGCAUCUAUGGGUUCCAGUAUAUCUUACUAUAUAACAUAUUAAUUUAACUAACAUGUUUGACAAAUAUAAUUAUGUUUAUUUAUAAAUAUUAUCUGUAUUGGAUUUUUUAAAUGUUUAAUAAAGAAAUUUUGACUAUAUGAGUUUUAGUUUUUUCUUAACUAUAGGUUAAUUAGCAUAUAGUAAGAGUAGAUGUGUGCCACAGCUUAGAAGACGCUACUGCAUGGAAUGACAGCAAUGA